rnacentral:rRNA from 1 species
GCUGGCGGCGUGCCUAAUACAUGCAAGUCGAGCGAAUAGAUUAAGAGCUUGCUCUUAUGAAGUUAGCGGCGGACGGGUGAGUAACACGUGGGUAACCUGCCCAUAAGACUGGGAUAACUCCGGGAAACCGGGGCUAAUACCGGAUAACAUUUUGAACUGCAUGGUUCGAAAUUGAAAGGCGGCUUCGGCUGUCACUUAUGGAUGGACCCGCGUCGCAUUAGCUAGUUGGUGAGGUAACGGCUCACCAAGGCAACGAUGCGUAGCCGACCUGAGAGGGUGAUCGGCCACACUGGGACUGAGACACGGCCCAGACUCCUACGGGAGGCAGCAGUAGGGAAUCUUCCGCAAUGGACGAAAGUCUGACGGAGCAACGCCGCGUGAGUGAUGAAGGCUUUCGGGUCGUAAAACUCUGUUGUUAGGGAAGAACAAGUGCUAGUUGAAUAAGCUGGCACCUUGACGGUACCUAACCAGAAAGCCACGGCUAACUACGUGCCAGCAGCCGCGGUAAUACGUAGGUGGCAAGCGUUAUCCGGAAUUAUUGGGCGUAAAGCGCGCGCAGGUGGUUUCUUAAGUCUGAUGUGAAAGCCCACGGCUCAACCGUGGAGGGUCAUUGGAAACUGGGAGACUUGAGUGCAGAAGAGGAAAGUGGAAUUCCAUGUGUAGCGGUGAAAUGCGUAGAGAUAUGGAGGAAC